CACUCAUCUGAUCAUGUAAAAGAAUUUAUUGUAGAGUCAGUUCCUCAUCCAUUUCCCUCGUCAAAAAUAUUCCCCUUGGUUUUAAUGAAAUUUUAUUUAUCACAGAUCUAAAUAAGACUAAGAAGAUACACUACUCAGUUGGUAAAAUCUUUGUCUUCUGGACACAGGCAAACACAUAACAUGCCACAGGUGUCUACACACAAUACAUACACAAACUUUAUACAAGCCAUAGUCCAUAGUUUAGAAGAAAAAAGCUAUGCAUUGCUUGUUUAAACAUAAAUAUAAUUAUAUGUUUGAGAAAUAAUCAACUUGUAGGAAGAAGCACAAAUACCUGUACUGUAGGAGAUAUUUUAUGGACUGUGUUUCUUUGCAUGUUGAAGAAAUGUUGACUAAUUAUUUGAGACCUUCUAAAGUUAAGGUUACAAGGUUUUGAGGCUUUAUAGAAAAGUUUGUUGAAAACUACAUCAAUAUUGUUUUUUGUUUGUUUGUUUAAUGUGUUUUGUUUUGUUUUUUUAAACAUGAAACAGGGUCACACUAUAUAGCUCAGGCUGUACUGGAAUUCACUAUAUAGACCAGACUGGCCUUGAACUCACAGAAUUCUGCCUUCCUCUACCUCCCAAGGGGUUGGAUUAAAGAUGUGCACUAGUAUGCCUGGCUGGAUAGUAAUAUUUUUAUUUUCAUUAAUGAAUUACUUUACAUUCUGGUCAGAACUUUCCCUUCUCACCUUCUUUCCCUCUUUCCUCCUCCUUCCUUUUCUCCUUAGAAAAGGGGAGGCCUCCAAUGGAUAUCAACCCACCUUGGCCUAUCAAGUUGCAGUAGGACAAGGUGCAUCAUCUUCUAUUGAGGCUAGACAAGGCAGUUCAGUUAGGGGAAAGGGGCCCAAAGGCAGGCAACUGAAUCAGAGAGCUCCUGUUCCUAUUGAAAGCGGUUCCACAUGAAUACCAAACUGCAUAUCUGUUAUAUGUAGGAUGCCUAGGUCCUUCCCAUGCAUGCUCUCUUGGUGGUGGUUGAGUCUCAGUGAGCCCCUGGCUCAGGUUAGUUAAUUUUGUAGACUUUCUUAUAGUGCCCUUGACUUCUCUGACUCCUCCAGUUCUUCCUCCCCCUCUUCUACAAGAUGAUACUAAUAUUUUUAAACUUUCCUUGUUUCUGUCUAUGAAGGGACAGAUUGUGUUGGGCUUGUCCCUACCAUGGUGGCCAACAGACAUAGCAGCUAUUUUGACUUCCUAGGCCUCUCACCAGAUUUUUUUACCAGUCUCGGAUUCCUGGACAUCAUCACCUCAGGGUGCCAUUUGAGAGAGAGAUAGAAACCCAGAAUAUUCAUGAACUGGUACCUGUGUCUCCACAGUCCGUUUGUGCUGCUGUGAUUCAUGUUCUUCCAGAACCUCGGAAGAUGUCCUCAUAGAAAUGGCUUCUUUGUAAAAGUAACUAGGCUGUAGGCAAACUUGGCCAGGGUUGGUCCUAAAUCUGCUUAGUGAUAUGAUUAAAGCCAUGUGAAACUCAAAAAAUUUGGAAGGCAGGAUCAUCAAGGCAGAGAUUUUGGUGAUAUACCUCCAAGCCAUGGAAUGUUGAUGACUGUUAGCAACAGAAACU
rnacentral:lncRNA from 1 species